rnacentral:rRNA from 2 species
UGGGGAAUAUUGCGCAAUGGGGGAAACCCUGACGCAGCAACGCCGCGUGAAGGAAGAAGGCUUUCGGGUUGUAAACUUCUUUGAUCGGGGACGAAAAUGACGGUACCCGAGGAACAAGCCACGGCUAACUACGUGCCAGCAGCCGCGGUAAUACGUAGGUGGCAAGCGUUGUCCGGAAUUACUGGGUGUAAAGGGCGUGUAGGCGGGGAGGCAAGUCAGAUGUGAAAUCCCGAGGCUCAACUUCGGAGCUGCAUCUGAAACUGUUUCUCUUGAGUACUGGAGAGGAAAGUGGAAUUCCUAGUGUAGCGGUGAAAUGCGUAGAGAUUAGGAGGAACACCAGUGGCGAAGGCGGCUUUCUGGACAGUAACUGACGCUGAGGCGCGAAAGCGUGGGGAGCAAACAGG